rnacentral:rRNA from 1 species
UACGUAGGGGGCUAGCGUUGUCCGGAUUUAUUGGGCGUAAAGAGCGUGUAGGCGGCCAGGUAGGUCUGCUGUGAAAACUCGAGGCUCAACCUCGAGAUGUCGGCGGAAACCAUCUGACUAGAGUCCGGAAGAGGAGAGUGGAAUUCCUGGUGUAGCAGUGAAAUGCGCAGAUAUCAGGAAGAACACCUAUGGCGAAGGCAGCUCUCUGGGACGGUACUGACGCUGAGACGCGAAAGCGUGGGGAGCGAACAGG